UCAAAUCUGGUUGUGACUUUAGGUUGCCAUGUUCUAUUUAAGCUUUUCAAUGAUGUUCAACUCCUCAUUGUCAAAGGUCUUCCCAAGAGCAAGGAGGUGGUUAACUAUAAGCGUGAAUCUUUUCUGCACAUCAUAGAUACUUUCUCCGUUCUUCAUUCUGAACAUUUCAUACUCUUGGAUUGAUGAGUUCUCCUAGCCCUUUUUACUUCAUCAGUGCCCUCAUGUGUGACUUCAAGAAUGUCCC
rnacentral:lncRNA from 1 species